AGGUGCCACGAAGGCCACCUUUGGAAUCGGAUGAGCGCUCGAGGUGCUAUGAGGGAUGACAGCAACAGCAUCUCUGGGACGAGCAGGUGCUGAAGAGGAACCGUGUGACCGGAACAUCCCUGUCAGCUGAUGCGAUUUGCUCGAUGACCACGGCUUCAGAUCCCAAGACCUCUGCAAGAUAAGUUGAGGGACCAGGGUCUGGGAAGCAGUGGACAGAGGAGAGAUGGUUGGGAACUGCAGGAAGGGGUUUUAAAACAGGGGAGAGGGCUCUGCAGGAGCAGUUCCCUUUGGGCAGCCAAAGGCAGCAGGUCACUUCUCAGGAAGAGUCCAGCACGUGCCGGGCAGGGCAGCUCCAGCCUGCGUGUGUGUCGGUGUGUGCAGUUUGUUGUCUGUGGUGUCUGGGAGGCUCCUCCAGUCUCGCCGUCUUCUCGGUGCUCUCAGAGCCCCUCGCCCAUCUCGGGCACCAUCCCUAGGGCUCAGAAUGCCCACACUCAUCAGCAUAGCGCUUCAGCAGCCACUUUUCUUUCAUAAGAAGAUACAAGUGUGAAUCAGUUUGCAUUUCAGAAGAUUCUUGCCGGUCCUCUGUGGCGAUACUGUUCCCAACUGCAUCUGCAUCUCUGAUCUCUCCAUGUCCAGCUAUAGCCUGGGACUUGUUGCGUGCAUCUUGAUGUUCCUAGGUCUUGAAGACAGGCUUCUUGCCCACCCAUCCUCUCAGUUUUGACACCUUCUCGUCAUGGGUUCUUACAGUGGACUUAUUUCUUGUGCUGCCACAGAGCCUCCAACACCUCAGCAUUGCCUCUCAGUAGCCAAUCUUGUUGCCUCUCAGUAGGCAGUCUUGUCCAACAGUUCCGGAUCCUGGAGAUGUUCUUCUUGCCGAGAGUUUUGUCUAAUUGUUUGUGGGCUCGUUUCACGUUUGCGUGUAUGUUUAGUUUGGAGCUGCUCUGCCCGGGGCUGCCGGAGGAGUCGUAAGAGUCUCCGGUGUGAAUGUUCCUGGGCUUUGAGAGUCGAGGCCAAGGUUGUACGGUCAUCUUGGCCAAAUCGGACAUCGUUAGGAUGGGUGGACAGUCGCUUCCCUGGUGUUUAACGGAGAUGAUUGGAGCCUUGCGGGAGGGCUUGCUCAAUAGCAGUGGAACCGAUGGACCCUCAAAGGUGUUACGUCAAGUAUGUGUGGGCCUUAAAGUUCCGUGGUGGGAUGCUUAGUAACAGGCUGGAGUUGAACUCCAGACGGCAUUACUGAAGGAGUAGCAAGUUCUGUGGAAUCUGCAAGCUCUAGAUUGUAAUGUGGCAAUUCUGUGUAAUUUUGUUUAUCAGACAGAGCCAUCGGGCUGCAAGCUCCACAACAGCAGAGGCGGGAGCAGAGCAACACGAGAAGGUUUGUUAGCGUGUGGUGUCGGAGGGAACCGGCUCCGGCGGCCGAAUCCAGAUCUCGGAGGGUUUGUCUUUUUGAAGGUGGGAUGCGAUGGAGAAAGCUUUCUGUCAGCCCCCAGUUUGAGCAGGUCUGCGAUGCACGUUUGGUAUCGGAUGAGCAUCGGGUACGACUCCUGUGUCCGUACGGGUUUAGGUUGUACAGUCCAGGCUUACAAUUUUCUGCGGUCUGGAUUUGUUUUAUAUUGCUUUCUAAGUGUAUUUAAUGGCAGUGUAUUGACUAUGUAUUUCAUGACUGUGUUUCUCUUGUAUCUAUGAUCAUCUUGUAUGUGUCUGGGUGUUGCAUUUUAUGUAGCAAUGCGUAUUGCAUUAGUACGGCUUUAUAUAGGGUUUGUCGCUCUGAUGUAGUACCAAAAUUAUCGAUGGGAUGUGUCACUAUCAAACGGUUUGACUUGCAGAUGUAUGUGAUUUUGUGUAACAAUGUGUAACUUAUAUGCACAGUAUGUUCACUUAUUUCCUUUGUGUAUUUUGUGCAGUUUGUAUAAUUGUAAUGUAUUUGCCGUGACAGUCGUUCCUCAUAGCGGCAAAUAAUCGGCGUCGUCUCGGACUCGUCAUUGUCCUCUGCGGUGUUGUUUGACCAUCCACGUAUAGCCUGUGAGUUGUAGUCAGGUGGUAAGAGGUGCUUUGCAUCUGAUUAACUGUUGUAUUGGACUCAUCGGUAACCCUUUGAGUCAGUGAUGUACUAGAUUUGACUGAACCGUCCUUUACCAUGUAUUGUAUAAGAUGUUGUACUAAUGCCUUGUAUGUGAUUGUAUAUUGUAGCAGACACGGUGUUGCAUUUUGUGCCUGUGUACGGUAUCGGAACAGGUUGUUGCAUAUCGUUACCACACACUCGAACUACGUUUGAAUCGGACCGCGUAUCAUAUCACGGAAUCGAGUAGCCUAACGGAUUUGAGUCGGUAUCACAUUCCAUCUUCGGUCAAAUCAUAAUCGCAUUUCAAUCUCUACAACCUGCCAUAGUCGCAUAGUAUGAGACUCGGUGCCACGUUUGACCCGGUAGCGGUGUGUUGUAUGCGAAUCGGUGGUGUAAUAGACUCUGUCACACGGUACGUAGCAGUGUUUUGUAUAAGACUUCGGUGCCGUCUCGCAUUACAUCAGGUUUUGUAAUGCCGAUUGAACAUUUAUCGUAUCGGACCCAUUAGCGCUGCGACGGAUGGGACCGGGUAUCGUAAUAGUCUUUGUAUUAGCGAAUCGCACUGGGAACGUUCAGGUUCGAUUCGUUGCGGUCGGUUCAGCCGUUACCGGGUGCCGUAUUUGACUUUGCGUUCUCACACGAGCAUUUUAUGCGUGUAGUACGGGAGCCGUUCACAUUGCAUUGCAUUUGCUUUGUUGUGGCAGUAUUUUAUUGUUAUUUUGCAGUAUCUUAAAGUGAAUGUUAUGACAAUUUGUGUUUCUACACUGUCUCUGUAUCACGGAUUCAUUGUUUUCAAUCA